rnacentral:tRNA from 1 species
GGCGCGGUGGCAGAUCGGUUAUGCGACGGACUGCAAAUCCGUCAAGGUUGGUUCAAUUCCAGCCCGCGCCUCCA